GGCGGAGUGAAGCGGCAACAGCUCAAAUUUGAAAUCUGGCGUAAGCCCGAGUUGUAAUUUGUAGAGGAUGCUUCUGGGUAGCGGCCGGUCUAAGUUCCUUGGAACAGGACGUCAUAGAGGGUGAGAAUCCCGUAUGUGACUGGCUUGCACCCUCCACGUAGCUCCUUCGACGAGUCGAGUUGUUUGGGAAUGCAGCUCUAAAUGGGAGGUAAAUUUCUUCUAAAGCUAAAUACCGGCCAGAGACCGAUAGCGCACAAGUAGAGUGAUCGAAAGAUGAAAAGCACUUUGGAAAGAGAGUUAAAAAGCACGUGAAAUUGUUGAAAGGGAAGCGCCCGCAACCAGACUUUGCGGCGGUGUUCGGCCGGUCUUCUGACCGGUUUACUCGCCGCCGUGAGGCCAUCAUCGUCUGGGACCGCUGGAUAAGACCUGAGGAAUGUAGCUCCCUUCGGGGUGUGUUAUAGCCUCUGGUGAUGCAGCGCGUCUCGGGCGAGGUCCGCGCUUCGGCAAGGAUGAUGGCGUAAUGGUUGUCGGCGGCCCGUCUUGAAACACGGACCAAGGAGUCUAACAUCUAUGCGAGUGUUCGGGUGUCAAACCCCUACGCGUAAUGAAAGUGAACGGAGGUGGGAACUUUUUGUGCACCAUCGACCGAUCCUGAUGUCCUCGGAUGGAUUUGAGUAAGAGCAUAGCUGUUGGGACCCGAAAGAUGGUGAACUAUGCCUGAAUAGGGUGAAGCCAGAGGAAACUCUGGUGGAGGCUCGCAGCGGUUCUGACGUGCAAAUCGAUCGUCAAAUUUGGGUAUAGGGGCGAAAGACUAAUCGAACCAUCUAGUAGCUGGGUUCCUGCCGAAGUUUCCCUCAGGAUAGCAGUAACGUUUUCAGUUUUAUGAGGUAAAGCGAAAUGAUUAGAGGCCUUGGGGGUUGAAACAACCUUAACCUAUUCUCAAACUUUAAAUAUGUAAGAAGUCCUUUGUUACUUUAGUUGAACGUGGACAUUUUGGAAUGUACCCGUUUACUAGUUGGGGCCCAUUUUUUUGGGUAA
rnacentral:rRNA from 1 species